CCCCUAGAUGUUCUGGGCCGCACGCGCGCUACACUGAACAGUUCAACAAGUCUUAACCUUGGCCGAUAGGUCUGGGUAAUCUUUGAACGCUGUUCGUGAUUGGGAUAGACCUUUGCAAUUAUGGGUCUUCAACGAGGAAUUCCUAGUAAACGCAAGUCAUCAGCUUGCAUUGAUUACGUCCCUGCCCUUUGUACACACCGCCCGUCGCACCUACCGAUUGAAUGGUCCGGUGAAAUCUCGGGACGGCGGCUUGGUCGCUUGCGUCCGACUGCUGAAACUUGAUUAAACCAUAUCAUUUAGGGGAAGGUGAANUCGUANCA
rnacentral:rRNA from 1 species